rnacentral:rRNA from 1 species
GGUGAGUAACACGUGGGCAAUCUGCCCUUCACUCUGGGACAAGCCCUGGAAACGGGGUCUAAUACCGGAUACCACUCCUGCCUGCAUGGGUGGGGGUUGAAAGCUCCGGCGGUGAAGGAUGAGCCCGCGGCCUAUCAGCUUGUUGGUGGGGUAAUGGCCCACCAAGGCGACGACGGGUAGCCGGCCUGAGAGGGCGACCGGCCACACUGGGACUGAGACACGGCCCAGACUCCUACGGGAGGCAGCAGUGGGGAAUAUUGCACAAUGGGCGAAAGCCUGAUGCAGCGACGCCGCGUGAGGGAUGACGGCCUUCGGGUUGUAAACCUCUUUCAGCAGGGAAGAAGCGAAAGUGACGGUACCUGCAGAAGAAGCGCCGGCUAACUACGUGCCAGCAGCCGCGGUAAUACGUAGGGCGCAAGCGUUGUCCGGAAUUAUUGGGCGUAAAGAGCUCGUAGGCGGCUUGUCACGUCGGAUGUGAAAGCCCGAGGCUUAACCUCGGGUCUGCAUUCGAUACGGGCUAGCUAGAGUGUGGUAGGGGAGAUCGGAAUUCCUGGUGUAGCGGUGAAAUGCGCAGAUAUCAGGAGGAACACCGGUGGCGAAGGCGGAUCUCUGGGCCAUUACUGACGCUGAGGAGCGAAAGCGUGGGGAGCGAACAGGAUUAGAUACCCUGGUAGUCCACGCCGUAAACGUUGGGAACUAGGUGUUGGCGACAUUCCACGUCGUCGGUGCCGCAGCUAACGCAUUAAGUUCCCCGCCUGGGGAGUANGGCCGCAAGGCUAAAACUCAAGGAAUUGACGGGGGCCCGCACAAGCAGCGGANCAUGUGGCUUAAUUCGACGCAACGCGAANAACCUUACCAA